UAGACACUUCCUGACCUUUACGUCUGAUACAUUCUUUGAGAGAACUUCUCUACCGACCCUGUCACCUAGAUUGGAUCACCGACCUCUCCCAAGAGGGUCCUGGCUUCCUCACUGGGGAAAUGAAGGAAACUAGGGUGUGACAAAUAAAGGAAGCCUUUUCAUGCUCUAUGUCCACUGGCGUCGGGCAAGCCCUGGUGGAAGUCCAAGGAAAAGAGUCUAAGACCCAAAAAGAUGGUUUGAGCCAAAGUUCUAAAGUGUAUCAGACGUGAAUAAAGGUCUUCGAUUCCCUGCCCCUGUCUCCUCCCUGCCCGAGGACCAAGCUUCAGAAGAACUGCACACGGGAGGAAAUACCAACCGUUUAACUUCUUCAGAGACAACCUCCAGCCCGGCUCACCACCAUGCUAGCUAAAAAAGGGCCCUCUCCCAGGGAAGGUCCCGGAGGAAGAAUGGGAAUUCACCCUACCCUUGGGGGAGGAGUGCUUUCUCUACCCUUAAUUUAUGAACUGAGAAAAAUCCUAACAAGCCUACUAUGAAAUAAAGAUGCCCUUAACCCAUUUAUGCCUAGUGUUCCGUUAUUGGAACGCUAAGCUUGUGGGAAUUAUUUAUAUCCUACUGCUCAAAACCAUUGCCAAGGUCUGAUUUUUCACACAAAAAAAUUUGCAACCUUCGGUAUAAAUGGGUUAAUUCCAAAGCCUAAAGCAACCUAAGACAUCUCAGCCCACAGUGAACCCAGCCUCCAGCUGCAGGUGUUGGCUUCCACGCAGCGCAGGACCAAGCAGUUUCGUGCUGAGUCCAUCUCUGUGGCCACUGGCCACCCGGUGUUGGGGCUGGUCCUCAGCACAUCUGCACAGGGGUAAACACGCCGUUGGUGGAAGGGGCCAGAGGCGGCCUGGGCUCUGAAUUCCACCCAGACCUGGGGAAUGGACCUGGUAGGGGAGCGAAUGCCAGGGCUGAUGGUGGCCUUGGCUCUUCUGCACGGCAGCAACUGUGGUGGCCUGAGAGUAAAGAGGUACCAUAAGGACGCAGAAGUAGAUCACCAGAGCUGCAUCCACACCCAGAGAUAGACGCACACAUCUGUGGUGUGUUCAUUUCAACAAAGAUGCAGAGAUAAUUCCAUGGAGGAAAAACUAGCCUUUCAACAAAUGGUGCUAGAACGAUUGGAUAUCUUACGCGAAAAAUUAACUUUUAUCUGUAUCUCAUAUUAUGUAAAAAUGGGACCAAACUAGAUUAUAAACAUAAUGUAGAAUAUAAAAGUAGAAAUUAUGGUAAAAAUCAUAGGAAAAAAAUCUGUGCGACCUUAGUUAGGCAAAGACAUUUUAAAUUUGACAGCAAAAGUACAAUCCAUAAAAGAAAAGAAACUGAUAAAUUGGACAUACUCAAAGUGAAGCACAUAUGCUAGUCAGAAGACACUACUGUUAAGAGAAUAAAAAAUAUAAGCCACAGAUCUGGAGAAAACAUUUGCAAACCAUAUAUCUGAAAAAAAUGGCUUGUACUUCACAUCUAAAAAGACUCAAAAGUCAAUAAUAGGAAAAAAGAGACAAUUUAAAAUGGGCAAAAUAGUUAAAAAGACAGAUCAGCCAAGAAGAUAUAUGGAUGAAAAUUAAACACAUUAAAUACAUCCGAUGUCAAUAACCCUGCUCCCUACCGGUUAGACAGCUGACGUCAGAAAAGCCGGCCCCACCGCACAUGCGUGAGCACAAGUGGGCAGGAACAGGAAAUGCCACGAGGACGCUGAAUCAAACCUGCCUACGUGAAGGGCUGAAGACGUGACAUUUCCUGACAGACGUCGCCAUGUCUAGCAGCAUGAGCCUCUCCAUGAAGGCAUGAGGGGAGAAGACCUCUUCUCUACCUUGUCCCAGGUCCUCCAGGACGGGCGUCUCCUUUGAGAAGCAGGACUGCUUUUAUAAGUCUUAGGUCCAGUGGAAGCUGCUUCGGAGCCAUGGAGAAAAGGCAGCCUGCGCCGAUUGACCAUGAGCCUGAGUACACUGCAUGAACCUUUGGAAGUACCUUUCCUAUGUCUGCCUGAAGUAAGAUAAAGUUGAAAAUUUGGGGGUAAAUACUUUGUAUAAUGGCGAACC